CCUACGGGGGGCAGCAGUGGGGAAUAUUGCACAAUGGGCGCAAGCCUGAUGCAGCCAUGCCGCGUGUGUGAAGAAGGCCUUCGGGUUGUAAAGCACUUUCAGCGGGGAGGAAGGCGGUGAGGUUAAUAACCUCAUCGAUUGACGUUACCCGCAGAAGAAGCACCGGCUAACUCCGUGCCAGCAGCCGCGGUAAUACGGAGGGUGCAAGCGUUAAUCGGAAUUACUGGGCGUAAAGCGCACGCAGGCGGUCUGUCAAGUCGGAUGUGAAAUCCCCGGGCUCAACCUGGGAACUGCAUUCGAAACUGGCAGGCUAGAGUCUUGUAGAGGGGGGUAGAAUUCCAGGUGUAGCGGUGAAAUGCGUAGAGAUCUGGAGGAAUACCGGUGGCGAAGGCGGCCCCCUGGACAAAGACUGACGCUCAGGUGCGAAAGCGUGGGGAGCAAACAGGAUUAGAUACCCGUGUAAUC
rnacentral:rRNA from 1 species